UACGGAGGAUCCAAGCGUUAUCCGGAUUUAUUGGGUUUAAAGGGUGCGCAGGCCGAAGAUUAAGUCGGCGGUGAAAUUUUGCAGCUCAACUGUAAAAGUGCCAUCGAUACUGGUUCUCUUGAGUGUGGAUGAAGUAGGCGGAAUUUGUGGUGUAGCGGUGAAAUGCAUAGAUAUCACGAGGAACUCCGAUUGCGCAGGCAGCUUACUAGGCCAUAACUGACGCUCAGGCACGAAGGCGUGGGGAUCAAACAGGAUUA
rnacentral:rRNA from 1 species